GACGAACGCUGGCGGCGUGCUUAACACAUGCAAGUCGAACGGUGAAGCGCCUUCCUUUUUGGUGGGUGUGGAUGAGUGGCGAACGGGUGAGUAACACGUGAGUAACCUGCCCCCUUCUUCUGGAUAACCGCAUGAAAGUGUGGCUAAUACGGGAUAUUCUGGGUCUGUCGCAUGAUGGGUCUGGGAAAGAUAUUGUUUCGGUGGGGGAUGGGCUCGCGGCCUAUCAGCUUGUUGGUGGGGUGAUGGCCUACCAAGGCGGUGACGGGUAGCCGGCCUGAGAGGGUGGACGGUCACACUGGGACUGAGACACGGGCCAGACUCCUACGGGAGGCAGCAGUGGGGAAUAUUGCACAAUGGGCGCAAGCCUGAUGCAGCGACGCCGCGUGAGGGAUGGAGGCCUUCGGGUUGUGAACCUCUUUCGCCAGUGAAGCAGGCCUGCCUCGUUUGUGGGUGGGUUGACGGUAGCUGGAGAAGAAGCGCCGGCUAACUACGUG
rnacentral:rRNA from 1 species